rnacentral:rRNA from 1 species
GACGAACGCUGGCGGCGUGCCUAAUACAUGCAAGUCGAGCGAGCGAAACUAACAGAUUUACUUCGGUAAUGACGUUAGGAAAGCGAGCGGCGGAUGGGUGAGUAACACGUGGGGAACCUGCCCCAUAGUCUGGGAUACCACUUGGAAACAGGUGCUAAUACCGGAUAAGAAAGCAGAUCGCAUGAUCAGCUUUUAAAAGGCGGCGUAAGCUGUCGCUAUGGGAUGGCCCCGCGGUGCAUUAGCUAGUUGGUAAGGUAAAGGCUUACCAAGGCGAUGAUGCAUAGCCGAGUUGAGAGACUGAUCGGCCACAUUGGGACUGAGACACGGCCCAAACUCCUACGGGAGGCAGCAGUAGGGAAUCUUCCACAAUGGACGCAAGUCUGAUGGAGCAACGCCGCGUGAGUGAAGAAGGUGUUCGGAUCGUAAAGCUCUGUUGUUGGUGAAGAAGGAUAGAGGUAGUAACUGGCCUUUAUUUGACGGUAAUCAACCAGAAAGUCACGGCUAACUACGUG